CAAAGUGUAGCUUAAAUAAAGCAUCUGGCUUACACCCAGAAGAUUUCACACCCAUUGGCCACUUUGAAGCUAGGA
rnacentral:tRNA from 1 species